rnacentral:lncRNA from 1 species
AUGUUUUUCUCCAGAUAUAUGCCCAGGAGUGGUAUUGCAGGGUCAUAUAGCUGGAUUGAAAAAGCAAGAGACUUCCAGAAAAGCAUAUAUUUCUGCCUUAUUGACUACGCCAAAGCUUUUAUCUGUGUGGAUUCCAAUAAACAGUGGAAAAUUCUGAAAGCGAUGGGAAUAGCAGACCACUUGACCUGCCUCUUGAGAAACCUGUAUGCAGGUCAGGAAGCAACAGUUAGAAUUGGACAUGGAACAAAAGACUGGUUCCAAAUAGGAAAAGAAGUACGUCAAGGCUGUAUAUUGUCACCCUGCUUAUUUAACUUCUAUGCAGAGUACAUCAUGAGAAAUGCUGGGCUGGAAGAAGCACAAGCUGGAAUCAAGACUGCAGGGAGAAAUAUCAAUAACCUCAGAUAUACAGAUGACACCACCCUUAUGGUAGGAAGUGAAGAGGAACUAAAAAGCCUGUGGAUGAAAGUGAAAGAGGAGAGUGAAAAAGUUGGCUUAAAGCUCAACAUUCAGAAAAUGAAGAUCAUGGCAUCCGGUCCCAUCACUUCAUGGGAAAUAGAUGGGGAAAUAGUGGAAACAGUGCCAGACUUUAUUUUGGGGGGCUCCAAAAUCACUGCAUUUGGUGACUACAGCCAUGAAACUAAAAGACACUUACUCCUUGGAAGGAAAGCUAUGACCAACCUAGACAGCAUAUUCAAAAGCAGAGACGUUACUUUGCCAACAAAGGUCCAUCUAGUCAAGGCUAUGGUUUUUCCAGUGAUCAUGUAUGGAUGUGAGAGUUGGACUGUGAAGAAAGCUGAGCACCGAAGAAUUGAUGCUUUUGAACUGUGGUGUUGGAGAAGACUCUUGAGAGUCCCUUGGACUGCACGGAGAUCCAACCAGUCCAUCCUAAAGGAGAUCAGUCCUGGGUGUUCUUUGGAAGAACUGAUGCUAAAGCUGAAACUCCAAUACUUUGGCCACUUCAUGCAAAAAGUUGACUCAUUGGAAAAGGCUCUGAUGCUGGGAGGGAUUGAGGGCAGGAGGAGAAGGGGACAACAGAGGAUGACAUGGUUGGAUGGCAUCACCAACUCAAUGGACACGAGUUUCAGUGAACUCUGGGAGUUGGUGAUGGACAGAGAGGCCUGGUGUGCUGCAAUUCAUGGGGUCACAAAGAGUCGGACAUGA